UAUUUCAAAUCACUACUACAAAAUAGGCUAUUCCCAACGGUUUAGAAGAGGGUUAAUUAUGGGAACCGUUGGAAAAGGUAAGUGUAAGUUUUUCCCAUCGGUUUAGCACUGUAGCAAAAAAACUGUUGGGAUAGUUAUUGCCAACAUUGAAUAACCGUUGGCAAUACUAAAUAGAUUUUUUUUAAAAAAAAAAAUAGUUUAUUCCGACGGUUUUUAACUGUUGCGAAUAGUAAGUAUUCCCAACGGUUUAUAACUGUGGAGAAUAGUUAGUAUACCCAACUGUUUGGGAAAAGAUGUAUUUUAUAUCUAAUUAAUAAUUUAUUCAAAAAAAGAAAAAAAAUUGGGUUGAAACUAUUGGGACAGGUGGUUCGAAUAUUGGACCAAGCUGAAAAUUCAGACUAAUACCCAAAAUCUCAUCUCUCUCUCUCUCUCUCGACAAUAACCCUAAGUUUCAGACCUCACCACAACGAUUUUGUCCGACGAUUCACGAUCUUGGGAGAUGAUUCACAAAUCUCAUCUCCUUUCUUCUCAGAUUCUGACGGCAGCUCCUCACCACGAGCUUGAGAGACGAUUGACAAGUCUCUCCGCUUCUCCCGCGUGUCUUCCUCCACCAGCGGCCUCCCUUCUCUUUUUCGUUGUCGAUGUCAACAACGGAAAAAAAACCAGCAGCAAAUAGGCGACGCGGUACCUCUCUCUCUCUCUCUCUCUCUCUCUCUCUCUCUCUCUCUCUCUCUCUCUCUCUCUCUCUCCCUGUCGGAUUCAAUGGCACCUCGUCGUUGAGCUUCAAUUUCGGUGAUAUCCCUCUCUCUAUUUAUGGGUUUCAUGAAUGCUUUGCACACAUAUAUAUAUAAUUGUUCAUUACUGUAUAAUUACACGCCAGACUUGGGUUUAGAACAUAUUCCUAUGGAAUUUUAGUUCAGAACAUACACUCAUAAUGUGUUUCUUAUCUUGUCAAUAGCUGUGAGUGAAGGUACUAUGGUUCAAUUUGUUAUGUUUCUUCUUUGUUUAUUAGACUUUGAAAAAUAAAUAAAUGUAUGACACAUAAUCAAAUAAAUUUCUUAAAUAAUUAUAAGAGAGAUGUUAUACCAUACUCAUACAAAUCUCUUCUCCCUUCCACGCUCAACAGCUCUUCCCACCCUCUGAGCUCUGUUAUUUCUCCUUUCGCUUGAGACAAAAAUGCAGGUUUCAAACUCAUACUCAUGGUUUCUCUUUGUUAUUUCUUUACUUUUUCUAAUUGCAAGGUCACAUCCAUGGUUUCUCUAUGAUUCUUUUUCUUAUUCAACCAUUUGUCUACAACAUUUCAGAUUUGAGAAGUGUAGUUGUUGUUGUGGUACUGGAGCAAGAUUAGGAAGAUAUGUUGCAUGUUCGGAGGUGUUGCCGUGUGUCCCCUCCAAGUGCUUGGUUUUGAUUCAAGAAAAGUGUGUCGUCUGCUCAAGCAAUUAUCAAGUUGAUCAAAUGGAUUCAGCGAAGAAGAGGAUUAGAAAGUGAAGAAGCAGGUGUAUAUAUUGGUAACUACUGCUCUUAUAUAUAGAAUCUGGUAUACUAGGAAUGAUAAGUAUUGGAAUCAUUCAAAUAAUUUUGUUGAUUCAAUUUUUCAUCAUACAAAGAUAAAUAUGAAAGGGAGGCUUGCAGGAAUUAGCUUCAAUAAAGUUAGUCAAAUAGAUAGAGAGUGAAUGGAAAUGUUGCAAAUGUUACAAGUCUAUUAUCAGGCCUUUAAGGUACUGUUGAACAA